UACGUAGGGGGCUAGCGUUGUCCGGAAUCAUUGGGCGUAAAGCGCGUGUAGGCGGCCCGGUAAGUCCGCUGUGAAAGUCGGGGGCUCAACCCUCGAAUGCCGGUGGAUACUGUCGGGCUAGAGUGCGGAAGAGGCGAGUGGAAUUCCUGGUGUAGCGGUGAAAUGCGCAGAUAUCAGGAGGAACACCGAUUGCGAAGGCAGCUCGCUGGGACGUAACUGACGCUGAGACGCGAAAGCGUGGGGAUCAAACAGG
rnacentral:rRNA from 1 species